rnacentral:lncRNA from 1 species
UCUCCUUCCUCAGGUUCUCCUUCCUCAGCUUUUCCUCAGGGUCCUGAAAUGGUUAUUCAAUAACCAAUGAGACCACGUCUCAGCGAGUCCUACCCACUAAGACUCGAUUAAUAAACUAAUACGCCAUCCGGUUGCCUAAGCACAACACGAGUCAGAGGACUUACCUUGGCCUCCGUUCCAACCUGCAAUUCAAGGUUAAACACAGAUAUUCAAACAAGUCACGACAUCCGAUCAAGCAUUGAUCAAUCGACUAAGUCGAUUACAUGUCAGCCAGACCCUCUCUAGGUCAUUCCCACUCAUACCAUGCUUUCUCAGUGGUGUACUCAUUCACCAAAUCACAGUGUUUCUCGGGCGUCGUUUUCGCCAAUGACAUACCGAUCACCGACACCGUGCGUUCUUUAAGGCGCCGUUUUCACCAGUGAUAACCUUGAUCACCGAACCACGUGUCCUUUCAAGGGCGCCGUUUUCGCCAAGGUGACAUCGGCUAUAGACAACAUCGUGCGUUCUUUAAGGCGCCGUUUUCACCAGUGAUAUUCCCAUAACCACCGAACCACGUGUGUCUAUAAGUCAUUUACGUGCGUUCUUUAAGGCGCCGUUUUCGCCAGUGAUACUUCCAAUCACCGAACCACGUAUGUCCAAUAAUAUCGUACCUGAUUGGUCUCACCAUUCUCCCUACUAUAUAGCCCAUCAACGUACUGGCGCUAUAUAUCCAUGCUUGGCCAUUACCAAUCAAAUAUUCAAUAACAAACAAUUUAGGACAAUUCCUAAAAUUCCACAAUAAAUUCAAUUCCACACAACGUAAAGCUCAAUUAAAUAAACGGACUGCACCACGACAAUCGGCACGAAAUUCCGGUCACCGGCCAUCCCGGUUGAAUUUCCGGAAAAAUAAUUAAUUAAAUAAAUAAAUUUCGAAAAUAAAUAAAUAAACAUUAAAAAUCCAAUUUAGGCUUAUAUUGCCUUAUUGGAGCCCGAAACGGGUCGAGAAAAAUCUCGAGAUACAUUUAAUAAAUAACCAAACAUUUCUACUUGCCAAUAGCUAAGUCUAACCACCUAACAUGCAUCCUCAAGUCACUAAUUUAAGUGUUCUAACCUAAUCUAACCACCUAAGUGCAUGUAAUUAAAUCUAACCAACCCUAAGACAUAAUUAGCAAAUUAAUAAAGCUUUAGUGAGUAAAACUCACUUGAUCAAAAGCGGUAUCGGAACACCGCGACGGCGACGCGACGGCGGCCGAAAUCGAACUUUCGACAACACCGGCGGCUUGGGACCGGGCCUUGACCUUGGCCCAACAAAUCUCAGCCCAACUGAGAUUUGUUACUGAAAUGGGCCAAGCUUGAUUGAAAUAGCACUUGCUGGGCUUCUUGGGCCGCAGGACCUCAAAGACUGGGCUGACUUGUGAAAACAAUCAACUUGCUGGGCUGAGCUUGGGCCAAAACUUCUGCUGACUUGGCCUAAAUGGGCUGCUGUUGGUGUAAUAUUUGAAUGGGCUUGAAGACUGCACUAUGGCCCGAAAUUACUGGCUUUACUGGGCCUGAGGAUUGCUGGACUGAAGCUUCGGUUUGGGCUGAGGACACGCGUGCAGCUGGUCGUGGGAGUGUGCGGUCAAUUGACCGAUCGAUGCUGCCCUCGGUGAAUUGAUUUGUGAAUAAACGAAGGUGGAGCUGGCCACGUGAGGAACUUCGGGCGCUGAAGAUGGAGAGGAAAUUGGAUUUGCUUCGUGGCAGGGC